rnacentral:rRNA from 1 species
UACGGAGGUUCCAAGCGUUGUUCGGAAUUACUGGGCGUAAAGGGAGCGCAGGCGGACAGGUCAGUUUAAAGUGGAAUCCCAGGGCUCAACCCUGGACGUGCUUUGGAUACUGCCUGUCUUGAGUUCGUGAGAGGAAAGUGGAAUUCAGGGUGUAGCGGUGAAAUGCUUAGAUAUCCUGAGGAACACCAGUGGCGAAAGCGACUUUCUGGCACGAAACUGACGCUGAGGCUCGAAAGCAUGGGUAGCGAAC